AUUUUCUCAUUCACAUCUCUCUCAAAUCACAAACACAAACACCAAAAAAAAACAAGAGAGAGAAAACACAAAAAAAACCCAGCAACACAUAAACAUGGCGGCUUACAAUCUACAAUCCGAUUCCCAGGAUUCCCGAGAAAUUCUCAUUGAACAACAACAACUUGAACAACAACAACACCAACAACAAAAAAUUGAAAAACAGCAAGAAGAAGAGGAAGAAGAAGUGAUUGUAUGGCAACCAAAACCCAGAAACAGGAAACCAAAAAAGAGGGUCCCACAAGUAUGUUUAGAAGGGUACGUGGAGGACGAUGAUUUGCCAAGAACAAAGAGUUUAACUGAUGAUGAUCUUGAUGAAUUAAAGGGGUGUGUUGAUUUAGGGUUUGGUUUUAGUUAUGAUGAAAUCCCUGAACUUUGCAACACUUUGCCUGCUUUAGAACUUUGUUAUUCCAUGUCUCAGAAGUUUCUAGAUGAUCAUCCUAAUCAACUUAAUCCCAAAUCUCUCUCUGUUGCUUCUGAUACGGCGUCGUCUUCUUCUGGCUCCGAAACUUCUAGUCCUAUGCCCACUUGGAAGAUCUCUAGUCCUGGUGACCAUCCCGAAGAUGUGAAAGCAAGGCUAAAAUUUUGGGCUCAGGCUGUGGCGUGCACUGUUAAACUAUGCAGCUAAGAUGCAGGGCUUCGAGCCUCCGACUGAUUUGAUCAGUCAAGAAAAAAGGAUGUGUAAUUUUCCCUUAAGAUGAAUAGUCUCAACUUUCCUGAUCGAAAUGGAUAAUUAGGUCUGUUUUGGUACCAUGCCGGUGACAUUAAGAGCGCUAGUGACUCGUUUAAAGGGAAGAUGAACAUGCCAGGACCGUCAGAGUGUAUAACUUUGCGACCUAUUCUUGGACAAGAUGGAUCAAAACCGUAGAGAAGAGGACCUUGUCAGGUCUGAGAUUAAUCAACUACCAAUGACGUGUAAUCGCAAUUGCAGCUAAGUCAGCUUCAUGGAGACCUCUGCAUUGCUGAGGUAACUCCUCUCAUUGGAUAAUCAGUCUUGGAUUACUGCGAAUCCUUUUGAUUAUCUCUGCCUAUUGGAACAUGCUUCUUCUUUAACCUCUAACUUGGGAACUAUCUUGUGAUCUUUCGGUCUGAUGAGUGCCAAUAUCUAGCUAAUCUGUGAUCUUUCGGUAUGAUGAAUGCCAAUAUCUAGCUAAUCUGUGAUCUUUCGGUAUGAUGAAUGCCAAUAUCUAGCUAAUCUAACAUGUGAAUUGAUCAAUGUUUCUCAUUUGCAAGGCAUUCGUCGAUGAUGUUAAACGAUGAGAGUACAUUGUUUGCCUGAUUUACUACUAACUUGCUAUUGCCUUGAAGAUGCGCAUAUGACUCCUCUAUUCUCUAUUGGUGUACUUCCAACUUGCUUCGAAGUUUGGCAUUCUAACAAAGGUGUCUUUGUCUAUCUCAUAAACCCAUAUAUAUCUAUUGUGUGGUUUUUCGCUGUCUUGUUCCAAUCAACUAUUCCUGGCCACAUAACAUGGUUGGUGGAUCGCAGAUAUUUUACCAAGUUGCUCCAUGAAUUUGUGCUCUUGCAGACGUUUGCUACGUGAGUAAGAAGUGGAUGUUUUAAUCGGGUGAUUGGGACCUGAUAUGACUCGUUUUUGGUUGUAUCUUAUGCUAAUAACUUGACUAUAGGGACUUCAAUCAAAUUAAUUAGUGGUUGCAAACAGAUCAGCAAUGCUAGGAUGCAGCUAGAAUUUUUGGCAUUGCUGUGCUCAUGGUUGUCCGAAGGAACAUUCUCUGGUAAACUAACUUGUUCUAUUCAUAUCAACGUAAUAUGAUUAGCUCUGAAAUUGUUUGCAGAUAGAUGGUUGCCUCACUCUUAGUCCUAGUCUAAUUUUGUAUUGUAGCUCUCUUUAGUUGCCACAUCACUAACCCAAAGUGAUCUAACGGUACUCAUUUGAGCUAAUUUAGCAGCCUCUACCUCUAGAGGAGAUCUAAUCCGAGAUUUUUCGGCCUCUCCUAUCAUCGAGACGGUGAAAGUGUCAAUUUUUAGCUAUGACGCGGCAAAAUCAGAAGAGAUUUAACAUAAGAUGAGACACAGUGAGAAAAGCAAUCGAAGUCGGUUCAUCCAUGGAUCUUGAAGCUGGAUUAACUGGUGCCAACUGAGUUUCAGAGAUACGCCUCCAGGCUGUAGGAUACAGAUUUCUUACUGAAAAGAGUAAUAAACUUAGAUCUUAGCCUAUUGACUCUCGUAAGCUUAUGAAGCCUGUCUACUGACUUGAUAUCCACUUGCAUAUAUGGAAUAUACAGUCUGAUUGACGCAUCUGGAUCUUAGUGUAAGAGCUAAUCAUUUGAUGCCUAGUUGGCCACAUGGUAUGCCAUAUUAAUUUGGCACUAUUGGUGUUAAAAUGUUGAUUAAUAGUUGGCAUAUUCUUUGGUAUAUCA